rnacentral:rRNA from 1 species
AAACCAACCGGGAUUGCCUUAGUAACGGCGAGUGAAGCGGCAAAAGCUCAAAUUUGAAAUCUGGUACCUUCGGUGCCCGAGUUGUAAUUUGGAGAGGGCAACUUUGGGGCCGUUCCUUGUCUAUGUUCCUUGGAACAGGACGUCAUAGAGGGUGAGAAUCCCGUGUGGCGAGGAGUGCGGUUCUUUGUAGAGUGCCUUCGAAGAGUCGAGUUGUUUGGGAAUGCAGCUCUAAGUGGGUGGUAAAUUCCAUCUAAAGCUAAAUAUUGGCGAGAGACCGAUAGCGAACAAGUACAGUGAUGGAAAGAUGAAAAGAACUUUGAAAAGAGAGUGAAAAAGUACGUGAAAUUGUUGAAAGGGAAGGGCAUUUGAUCAGACAUGGUGUUUUGUGCCCUCUGCUCCUUGUGGGUAGGGGAAUCUCGCAUUUCACUGGGCCAGCAUCAGUUUUGGUGGCAGGAUAAAUCCAUAGGAAUGUAGCUUGCCUCGGUAAGUAUUAUAGCCUGUGGGAAUACUGCCAGCUGGGACUGAGGACUGCGACGUAAGUCAAGGAUGCUGGCAUAAUGGUUAUAUGCCGC